rnacentral:tRNA from 1 species
UGUGGCAGAUUAGUGCAAUGAAUUUAAGCUUCAUAUAUUAAGCCACAACUUUUAUUAGAAA